GCCGCUGUCGUCCAGGUGGACGUGCCCGAGGUUCCCGAGGCGGGGCUCGAGGUGGUUCUGGAGGCCGAGGCGGUGCCCGAGGCUGUGCCCGAUGCCGAGGCGGUGCCCGAGGCUGUGUCCGAUGCCGAGGCGGUGCCCGAUGCCGAGGCGGUGCCCGAGGCGGUGCCUGAUGCGGUGGCCGAGGCGGUUCCCGAUGCAAUGUCCGAUGCCGAGGCGGUGCCCGUUGCCGAGGCGGUGCCCGUUGUCGAGGCGGUGCCUGAUGCCGAGGCGGUGCCCGAUUCCGAGGCGGUGCCUGAUGCGGUGGCCGAGGUGGUUCCCGAUGCAAUGUCCGAUGCCGAGGCGGUGCCCGAUGCCGAGGCGGUGCCCGAUGCCGAGGCGGUGCCCGAUGCGGUGCCAGAGACGGUGCCAGAGACGGUUCCCGAUGUAAUGCCCGAGACUGAGGCUGUUCUGGAGGUCAGGGCGGUGCCCGAUGCCGUUCUGGAGGUCGAGGCGGUGCCCGAUGCCGUUCCCGAUGCGGAGGCGGUGCCCGAUGCCGUUCCGCAGGUCGAGGCGGUGCCCGAUGUUGUUCCAGAGACCGAGGCGGUGCCCGAGUUGGUUCCGGAGGCCGAGGCCGUGCCCGAGGCGGUGCCCGAUGCGCAGGCCGAGGCCGUUCCCGAGGCGGUGCCCUUGUCUGAGGCCGUUCCCGAUGCCGUUCCCAAUGCCGUGACCUGGCCAUCGCCACAGCCUGCUCCUUACUGGCUCCCCGAUUGGCAGGUUCCAUUCGGGCCACUCAAAUGGCGAAUUCCUCCCUGGCCGUCUGCACAACGAGAAUGGACUGAUCCACCGUGGCCACCUGAACUGCCUGGCCCCUCGUGGUCCCCUGAACUUUCGGGUCCACCGUGGCCACCUGAACUGCCUGGUCCCUCGUGGUCCCCUGAACUUUCGGGUCCACCAUGGCCCCCUGAUCUGACCAAGCCACCUGGGCUACCAGGGGAGCCAUCGCUGCCGGUCCCAGUUCCCCUACACGGGCCUGGCCCGCCAUCCCUCCCCCUGUU
ensembl:lncRNA